rnacentral:rRNA from 1 species
CACGUAGGAGGCGAGCGUUAUCCGGAUUUACUGGGCGUAAAGCGCGUGCAGGCGGUUUGGUUAGUUGGAUGUGAAAGCUCCUGGCUUAACUGGGAGAGGUCGUUCAAUACUGCCAGACUAGAGGAUGGGAGAGGGAGGUGGAAUUCCGGGUGUAGUGGUGAAAUGCGUAGAUAUCCGGAGGAACACCAGUGGCGAAAGCGGCCUCCUGGCCCAUUUCUGACGCUCAGACGCGAAAGCUAGGGUAGCAAACGGG